AUGAUGACAAGUUUCAUGGUUAUCAUUAUUAUUUAUAGCCAAAUUCAUAUUCAUAAUACUCAAUCGACACAAAGAACUAUAAAGAGACCCCAAAGUUUCCAUUGGAGAAAAACGUGCACCAACCCCUAUGCAUAG
rnacentral:rRNA from 1 species